AACGAACGCUGGCGGCAUGCCUAACACAUGCAAGUCGAACGAGACCUUCGGGUCUAGUGGCGCACGGGUGCGUAACGCGUGGGAACCUGCCCUUAGGUUCGGAAUAACUCCCCGAAAGGGGUGCUAAUACCGGAUAAUGUCUUCGGACCAAAGAUUUAUCGCCUUUGGAUGGGCCCGCGUUGGAUUAGCUAGUUGGUAGGGUAAAAGCCUACCAAGGCGACGAUCCAUAGCUGGUCUGAGAGGAUGAUCAGCCACACUGGGACUGAGACACGGCCCCGACUCCUACGGGCGGCAGCAUGGGGGAAUGUUUGACAAUGGGCGAAGCCCUGUUCCACCAAGGCCGGUGAAGUUGUGAAGGCUUUAGGUUUGAAAAGCUUUUUUUCCCGGGAUGGUAAUGACGGUACCGGGAAAAUAAGCCCCGGCUAACUCCCU
rnacentral:rRNA from 1 species